rnacentral:tRNA from 1 species
AAGGAUUUAGCUUAAAAGUUAAAGUGACUGGUUUGCAUUCAGUUGAUGUGAGAUAGAGUCUUGCAAUCCUUA